GGGGAUGUAACUCAAUGGUAGAGUAUAUGCUUUGCAAGCAUGAGGUUAUCGGUUCAAGUCCGAUCAUCUCCA
rnacentral:tRNA from 1 species